UCCCUGGUGGUCCAGUGGUUAAGGCUCCAUGCUUCCAAUGCAGGGGGCAUGGGUUCAAUCCCCAGUUAGGGAA
rnacentral:tRNA from 1 species